GCGGGUGUAGCUCAAUGGCAGAGCGUCGGCUUCCCAAGCCGGUCACGUGGGUUCGAUUCCCAUCACCCGCUCCA
rnacentral:tRNA from 1 species